CUGGAGGCAUCUGUGAGAGCAAAGCAGGGAGGUACAAGUGGCUGCAUCUGUAGCAAGGCUGGGCUCAGCUGAAGGAAAGGAAAAGGAAAAAAAGAAGUGAAAUGGGGAAAAAAAAAAAAAAAAAAAAAAAAAAAGGAGUGCUCUGCCAAUUGCUAAUUAGCUCCUGCUUGUAGGGAAGCUGGAGGUAGGAAGGCAGCACUGAGCUGACGGGCUGAGGCACAUAGUUUUUGCUGUUUCCAUGGAAGACUAUGGAUCUCAAUGCAACCUCAUGUUGUUUGUGUCCAGCAACACGGUGCUACAGCACUCCAGCAGCCAGCCGGGCACUGCCAUUCCCAGGAAAGAACUGAGAAUUUCGCUGUUUCAGCAGAUGCUCCUUACUACUGGAUGCCAGUAAAAAACCCAAGCCCAGAGCACAGUGCUGUCUAAAAAAUGAAAGAGAAGACCAUGUGAUCUCAUGAAGGAAAAGGAGAAAAGUGAAAAAGUGCUUGGCAGCCCCAACACCUCUCUCCGUUGUGGCUCUGGCAGAACAGCCUCUGGACAGGAGAAAGCACAUUUCUGCUGCAGUGCCCGGGGACAUGAAGGGUCCCCCACAGCCAUCAGGACACCCUGGGGACAUAUGUUGCAUGGAAAGGAUGAAGCUCAGUGCUGAGUGUAAACCACGCAGCCUAUGCCUUGUAGGAAGCGGUCGUGUAGGGAAAAUUGCAUCAUCAAACAAUUAGAGACUGUAUCUCAAGCCAUGUGCAGAGGGGGUCAGACUGAGGUUGCCGAGUGAUCUGAAUUUGGUGAUUUUCCGCACUGGUUUAAAGCCCCCUCUCCAGCAGAAAUCAGCCAUGUCACGGGGCUGCGAGAAGGGCGACUGAUAAGAGCGAUCUCUCUCAUCCCUCACACGAGCACGAAGCCCCCACCGGGUGCAGAGCGCUCCCCUGGGCCGCCCGGGCCCCACCGCUGCUCCCGCGAAGCCACCUCCGAGGGCACCCGCCUCGCUGCCCGCGCGAACCCGGUGUGGGCCGGGGCAGGUGACCCGUGGAGAGCGGCGGCGCCCGGCGGUGCCCGCAGGGGUCG
rnacentral:lncRNA from 1 species